GAGGUUUUGAUGCAAAAAAAUUGAAUUUUUAAGGACAAAAAAAUAGAAUUUUCAAGGAGGAAAAAUAUGGAAAAAUACAGGCAAAAAUUGUGGUGGAGUUAUUGGGGGAAAAUGGGGAUUUUUGGGCAAAAAUUGCGAUUUUGGGGGGAAAAAUUUGAGGUUUUGAUGUGAAAAGAAAUGGAAUUUUUAAGGGGAAAAAUUAUGGAAAAAUACAAAUAAAAAAUGGGGGAAGUGAGGUUUGGAAAAGUUGGGAAUUUUGAGUAGGAUUUGGGUCUAAAAUCGAAAAUUUUGGUCAAAAAUGUGGAAAUUUGGGUGGGAAAUUUAAAGCUCAAAUAAACCUGGUGCCAACGAGAGAAUUUGGGGGAAUAAAUUGAAUUUUGGAGAUCCUGGGAAUAAUUUGGAGGGGUCUGGGUGGGCUUGGAGGAAUAAAAGGGCGUUUUUAGGGGAAAAAAAUGAAAUUUUGGAGAAAAAAUUUGAAUUUUCGGGAUCGUAGGGUGCUCGCAGGAGUCGGUGAGUAAAUUCUCGCUUCCCAUUGGUCACGGCCCCUGUCAAUCAUCGCAUGACUCACUUUUAUUGGCCAAUCUCUCGCUUUAAGGCUGGGCGCGUAUUAUCCCGCCUUUCUGCUUUUCUAUUGGUCAGUUUUCUCAUUCCGUCACGCUGAUUGGCUUUUAAACCUGUCAUUCAUUCCUUUCCUAUUUUCCGGCUCUGGGCGGGCUUUCUUAGCGCUUCUCGCGCUCUGAUUGGCCGUCGCCUUUCGUGCCGCGCUCUGAUUGGCUGCCUCCUCUCCCCUCACGCGCAUUUGCAACAUGGCGGCGUCCGAGGCGGUCGCGCUGCUGGAGGCGCUGCGGGCGCAGGCGUCGGAAGUGGCGGCGCACGGGCGGGAGAUGCUGCGGAGAGUGAGGGGAGGGCAGCUGGACACCAAGGAGGUACCGGCGGCGUUUUGGGGAGAAAUCGUGAGGGGAUUUUGGAGCUUUUGCGGGGAAUUUGGGGAUCCCGAAAGGAUUUUUGAGGCGAUUUCGGGAGUCGGGUGAGAUUUUAGGGGAUCCUGAGGGGAUUUUUGAGGGUUCUGAGGGGGAUUUUGCGGAUCUCUGAGGGGAUUUUCGGGUUUUUGAGGGGAAUUCGGCCGAUCCAUGAGGGGAUUUUCGGGUUUUUGAGGGGAUUUUCGCGUUUUUGAGGGGAUUUUGGGGAUCUCUGAGGGAAUUUCGGGGAGUUUUGAGGAGAUUUUGGGUUCUUGAGGGGAUUUUGAGGUUUCUGAGGGGAUUUUGAGGUUUCUGAGGGGAUUUUGAGGUUUCUGAGGGGAUUUUUGGGGAGUUCUGAGGAGUUUGGGAAAUUCUGAGGCGAUUUUGGGAUCCCUGAGGGGAUUUUAGGCGUUUCUAAGGGUUUUGAGUUAAUUUAGCAAAAUUUUGAGGUAAAUUUCAGAGAUUUUUGGGGUACUGCAGAAAGCUCCUUUGCUGAUACUUAUUUUAAAUUAAAUUUUAUAAAUUUUUGGGUUAAAAUUUUGGGGCUUUUGGGGUCCUUCAAUCCACUAGGGGGCGCCUCUGUUGAU
rnacentral:lncRNA from 1 species